rnacentral:rRNA from 1 species
GGCCUUGUGCCGGCGAUGGUUCAUUCAAAUUUCUGCCCUAUCAACUUUCGAUGGUAGGAUAGUGGCCUACCAUGGUUUCAACGGGUAACGGGGAAUUAGGGUUCUAUUCCGGAGAGGGAGCCUGAGAAACGGCUACCACAUCCAAGGAAGGCAGCAGGCGCGCAAAUUACCCAAUCCCGACACGGGGAGGUAGUGACAAUAAAUACUGGUACAGGGCUCUUUUGGGUCUUGUAAUUGGAAUGAGUACAAUUUAAAUCCCUUAACGAGGAACAAUUGGAGGGCAAGUCUGGUGCCAGCAGCCGCGGUAAUUCCAGCUCCAAUAGCGUAUAUUAAAGUUGUUGCAGUUAAAAAGCUCGUAGUUGAACCUUGGGCCUGGCUGGCCGGUCCGCCUCACCGCGUGCACUGGUCCGGCCGGGCCUUUCCUCCUGGGGAGCCGCAUGCCCUUCACUGGGUGUGUCGGGGAACCAGGACUUUUACUUUGAAAAAAUUAGAGUGUUCAAAGCAGGCCUAUGCUCGAAUACAUUAGCAUGGAAUAAUAGAAUAGGACGUGUGGUUCUAUUCUGUUGGUUUCUAGGACCGCCGUAAUGAUUAAUAGGGAUAGUCGGGGGCAUCAGUAUUCAAUUGUCAGAGGUGAAAUUCUUGGAUUUAUUGAAGACUAACUACUGCGAAAGCAUUUGCCAAGGAUGUUUUCAUUAAUCAGUGAACGAAAGUUAGGGGAUCGAAGACGAUCAGAUACCGUCGUAGUCUUAACCAUAAACUAUGCCGACUAGGGAUCGGGCGAUGUUAUCUUUUUGACUCGCUCGGCACCUUACGAGAAAUCAAAGUUUUUGGGUUCUGGGGGGAGUAUGGU